rnacentral:rRNA from 1 species
GUCUGCUCGCUUUAAAGAACAGUCUGGCCUGCCCACUGAUUUAUUUUUAAAGGCCGCGGUAUCCUGACCGUGCGAAGGUAGCAUAAUAAUUAGUCUUUUAAUUGAAGACUAGAAUGAAUGGUCGGACAAAAAGUAAUCUGUCUCAACCUUUUUUAUUGAAUUUAACCUUUAAGUGAAAAGGCUUAAAUAACCUUGAAGGACGAUAAGACCCUAUAAAACUUUAUAUAUCUUUUUGUAUACUAUGAUUUAUACGUGAAAAAUAGUCUACAACUUAUAUAAUAUUACGUUGGGGCGACGAGAGUAUAAACAUAACUGCUUUUCUUUUUAAAACAAUAAUUUUUGACCUUAUGACCCUUAUUUUAAGAUUAAAAGAAAAAGUUACUUUAGGGAUAACAGCGUUAUUUUUUUUGAGAGUUCUUAUCGACAAAAAAGUUUGCGACCUCGAUGUUGAAUUAAAAUUUCCUUUAAGCGCAGCAACUGUUAAGGUAGGUCUGUU